GUGAGGAAUAUUGGUCAAUGGGCGAGAGCCUGAACCAGCCAAGUCGCGUGAAGGAAGAAGGAUCUAUGGUUCGUAAACUUCUUUUGCAGGGGAAUAAAGUGCAGGACGUGUUCUGUUUUGUAUGUACCCUGAGAAUAAGGAUCGGCUAACUCCGUGCCAGCAGCCGCGGUAAUACGGAGGAUCCGAGCGUUAUCCGGAUUUAUUGGGUUUAAAGGGUGCGUAGGUGGUUUGAUAAGUCAGCGGUGAAAGUUUGCAGCUUAACUGUAAAAAUGCCGUUGAAACUGUCGGACUUGAGUGUAAAUGAGGUAGGCGGAAUGCGUGGUGUAGCGGUGAAAUGCAUAGAUAUCACGCAGAACUCCGAUUGCGAAGGCAGCUUACUAAGCUACAACUGACACUGAAGCACGAAAGCGUGGGGAUCAAACAGGAUUAGAAACUCGGGUAGUCC
rnacentral:rRNA from 1 species